AGAGGGAGAGAGAAGGGGACGCGGAGAGAUCCAGUGACUGAGUGUUGUUGUCGUACUGUCUAGUCUAGAGGUGAUAUUAGAAUUCCCAGCUGGAACUAACGGUGGUCACGAUGUUUUUCUAGGCGUUCUAAGAAACGUCGGAAGUUCUAGUUCUCUCCUAAUCCUGCUAGAGGAAGCUGUGGUUGUUAUUGCGUCAGUAGUAGCUGCCCGGCAAACUAGGUGUGUUCGAUAGUACGUCCUAGUCUACGUUUCCUCCGUUCCACUAGUUCCCGCAGGUUUAGUACCCGCUGCCGUUCGGCCUUCUCUACCGGCCCGGUGGCGGCUCGUUGUCAGCGUUUUUCUUUAGUUUUAGUUUCCCCUUCCCCUUCCCCAGUGGCGGCGGCGGGCGACUCGUCGGUGUUCUUAUAGUAGGAGUCGGCGGGUCGCUCGUCGGUGUCUGUAUGAUGGGAGUCGGCGGGUGACUCGUUGGUGGCCGUAUGGUGGUAGUCGGUGGGUGACUCGUCGGUGGCCUUAUGGUGGGAGUCGUCGGGUGGCUCGUCGUUGGACGCAUGGUGGGAGUCGGCGGGCGACUCGUCGGUGGCCUUAUGGUGGUGGGAGUCGUCGGGGGAGGCCUGUCUCUCUACAGUCGCUGGUACGUCCGCCAGUCCCUCCUCCUCUCCGGCGUUCUCUCUGGCCGGCUCGAACUCUUCGGUUUCCUCUACGUCCAGGUAAAGCACGGUCUUCGUCCCGGCCUCACGGUGUUCUUGGGAUCCCUCUCCUCCGUGGGCUACCCUCUCUACGGAAGCACCUUGCCCGGCGGCUACCACCUCUAGGGGAGCGACGGCCGCGCUGGACACCCGGGCACGGCGACGUGCACGACGCGCAGUACGAUGGUCCCCAUGAUGCCUUCAACGUCCACGAGUCUGACGCCGUCCUGCAUGCCGAUGUGGCGGCGGCACCGCGACGGCGGCGGUCGUCCAACGAUGCCACCGCGUGCGUGCGGCAUGACGCCGCCUAUGUCGCCGAUGGCCCAAUAGACGCUCCUCCUAGUUCGCCCACGAACGUGGUAUUACACUAGACAAGUGACAAAGCACACGGUGUUGGUAACACGACGAAUCCGUUUCAACGUACACAAAACGCACAGAACUAAUGACAUGGUUACUAAGCACAUACGUCGACGAUACGUUCUUAGUAAAAACAUCCCCCCCCCUCCCCGAAACGUACUUAGUAGCGGUUGAUAACUACGAGAGGGUAAGUGUAGUCUAGUACCGACUUUUCUGCUCUCUUAGCUACGGAAGGGAAAAAUAAUUUAUUUGAGCAAUAAGAACAAGUUAUUACAGAUGAAAAGAUGUACCACGGCAGUUUGUUGGAUCGUGAAACCGUCUAAGAACAAGCUAUCACAGAGGAAAAGUUGUAUCACCACACUUUGUUAACAAUCGUGAAACCGUUUAUUUACCACACACUCUUUAAACAUGCUAAUUUACGUUAUGUCGUUAUGCUGUGACUCUAAACAAUUAUUCCA
rnacentral:rRNA from 1 species